rnacentral:tRNA from 1 species
GCGGGUGUCGUAUAUCGGUUUAUUACCUCAGCCUUCCAAGCUGAUGAGAGGGGUUCGACUCCCCUCACCCGCUCCA